rnacentral:tRNA from 1 species
GUAAAUAUAGUUUAAGAAAAACACUAGAUUGUGAAUCUAGUGAUAGAAGCUUAACCCUUCUUAUUUACC